UUACAAGUUAGCAUAUUAGUGCGAUGAGGUUAGAACUCAUAUAAAGUGAAAUAACUACUU
rnacentral:tRNA from 1 species